AGCUUUUCGAAUCCGUGCUGAGAUUUCGUCAGACACCAACCCAUUAGGGCUGAUCAGACUUCCA
rnacentral:pre_miRNA from 1 species